ACACCGCUGAACGACGGUGGCUGCCCGCGAAGAGGGAAUCCGGUGAGACUCCGGAGCUGACCCGCAGCGGUAUGUCGGAACGACCGCCGUCACACGCACUGGACGAGCCCGCCGCACGGCGGCCGCCGGGAAGCGACGGCCAGUAGAAGCGGGCUCCAUUCCUGGCUCGCACGCCGACGAGCCCGAAGACCUGCCUGCUGCAUCGGAUGCGC
rnacentral:ncRNA from 2 species